GUUCCUUUAGGGCAAUGGAUAGCCCGUUGGACUUCUAAUUUAAAGGUCAUGGGUUCGAAUCUUACAUGGGAUG